GACGAACGCUGGCGGCGUGCCUAAUACAUGCAAGUCGAGCGAAUCAAUAGGAGCUUGCUCCUGUUGGUUAGCGGCGGACGGGUGAGUAACACGUGGGCAACCUGCCUGUAAGACUGGGAUAACACCGGGAAACCGGUGCUAAUACCGGAUAAUCCUUUUCCUCUCAUGAGGAAAAGCUGAAAGUCGGUUUCGGCUGACACUUACAGAUGGGCCCGCGGCGCAUUAGCUAGUUGGUGAGGUAACGGCUCACCAAGGCGACGAUGCGUAGCCGACCUGAGAGGGUGAUCGGCCACACUGGGACUGAGACACGGCCCAGACUCCUACGGGAGGCAGCAGUAGGGAAUCUUCCACAAUGGACGAAAGUCUGAUGGAGCAACGCCGCGUGAGCGAUGAAGGCCUUCGGGUCGUAAAGCUCUGUUGUUAGGGAAGAACAAGUACCGGAGUAACUGCCGGUACCUUGACGGUACCUAACCAGAAAGCCACGGCUAACUACGUG
rnacentral:rRNA from 1 species